GGCGCGAUAGCAAAGUGGUUAUGCCCCGGAUUGCAAAUCCGGUUACGCCGGUUCGAUUCCGGCUCGCGCCUCCA
rnacentral:tRNA from 2 species